UGCCAGCCGCCGCGGUAAUACGGAGGGUGCGAGCGUUAAUCGGAAUUACUGGGCGUAAAGCGCAUGCAGGUGGAUGAUUAAGUCAGAUGUGAAAGCCCGGGGCUUAACCUCGGAAUAGCAUUUGAAACUGGUCAUCUAGAGUACUGUAGAGGGGGGUAGAAUUUCAGGUGUAGCGGUGAAAUGCGUAGAGAUCUGAAGGAAUACCAGUGGCGAAGGCGGCCAUCUGGGAGGAUACUGACGCUGAGACGCGAAAGCGUGGGGAGCAAACAGGAUUAGAUA
rnacentral:rRNA from 1 species